rnacentral:rRNA from 1 species
GGUUUGAUCGUUGGCUCAGAUUCAGACGCUGGCGGGAUGCUUUACACAUGCAAGUCGAACGGCGGCACGGACUUCGGUCUGGUGGCGAGUGGCCGGAACGGUGGUAUCGGAACGUGCCCUGUGGCAGAGGAUAACUACGCGAAAGCCUUCAUGCAGCCGCUGAGGGAAACAGAGGCCUUCCGGGCCUCGCACUAUUAGAAGCGGCCGAUAUCGGAUUAGCUAGUUGGUAGGGUAACGACUCUGGGCGUGAUCGUAGCUGGUUUGAAGGGACGACCAGCCACACUGGGACUGAGACCACGGCCCAGACUCUACGGGAGGCAGCAGUGGGGAAUUUUGGACAAUGGGGGAAACCCUGGUCGUAUCCCGUGUGCGAUGAAGGCCUUCGGUUUGUAAACGCGCGGCGGGAAAGAAACGCUGGAUAAUACCCGUGCAACUGACGGUCACCUGCGAUACAGCACCCGGCUAACUACGUGCCAGCGGCGCGGUAAUACGUAGGGUGCAGCGUUAAUCGAUUACUGGGCGUAAAGCGUGCGCAGGCGGUUCGGAAAGAAGAUGUGAAAUCCAGAGCAACACGGAACUGCAUUUUUUAACUGCCGAGCUAAGAGUAUGUCCAGAGGGGAGGUGGAAUUCCGCGUGCGCUGAUCAAAUGCGUAGAUAAUACGGAGAGAACACCGAUGCGGCGAAACAACCUCUGGGAUAACACCACCAGCUUCAGCACAUCAUGCACGAAAGCGUGGGAGCAAACGGAUUAAUUUCACUGUUGAGUCCACGCCCUAAACAGUAUCCUUAGCUGUUGGGGCCUUCGGGCCUUGGCAUUGGCUACCUUCACUUGUGACUCAAGUUGUCUCCUGGGAAAUGCAGUCGCAAGAUUAAAGCUCAAAGGAAUUGACGGGGUUACCACAAAGCGGUGGAUGAUGUGGAUUAUGAUUCCUAAUUAUACCGAAAAACACUUACCCUUGACACUGUAUGCGGAAUCCCGAAGAGAUUUGGGAGUGCUCGCAAGAGAACCGGAACACAGGUGCUGCAUGGCUGUCGUCAGCUCGUGUCGUGAGAUGUUGGGUUAAGUCCCGCAACGGCACAACCCUUGUCAUUAGUUGCUACGAAAGGGGCUCUAAUGGAGCUGCCGGUGACAAACCGGAGGAAGGUGGGGAUGACGUCAAGUCCUCAUGGCCCUUAUGGGUAGGGCUUCGUCAUACAAUGGUCGGGACGGAGGGUCGCCAACCCGCGAGGAGCCAAUCCCAGAAACCCGAUCGUAGUCCGGAUCGCAGUCUGCAACUCGACUGCGUGAAGUCGGAAUCGCUAGUAAUCGCGGAUCAGCAUGUCGCGGUGAAUACGUUCCCGGGUCUUGUACACACCGCCCCGUCACACCAUGGGGUGGGUUUUACCAGAAAUGAUUAGCCUAACCGUAAGGAGGGCGAUUACACGGUAGGAUUCAUGACUGGGGUGAAGUCGUAACAAGGUGAAAG